AAGGAUGUGGUGUUUGCUGUCACUUUGGGAAAGGGGUUUCAAGGAAGAGGAGCCCCCUUACAAUGCCUUGACCUGGAAAACCUCCACCACAGGGAUAGCCUAAGAAGUCCUUGGUUCCUGCAAAACUCACCCAUGACUCUAUGGGUUACUAGGCUGAGGAGCUGGAGUCCUCAGGAUGAGGUCUUCACCAAAAUGUACAAAGCAAAAUAUCCCAUUGUGAAAUACACAGCCCAAAGAAUUCUUAAUGAGAACAGGAGCUCCAGCAUGGACUUGAAACUGAAAGCCCAGACCCAUUUUGACAUAAAGGAUGAGU
rnacentral:lncRNA from 1 species